GGUGCCAGCAGCCGCGGUAAUUCCAGCUCCAAUAGCGUAUAUUAAAAUUGUUGCCGUUAAAAAGCUCGUAGUCGAACUUCGGGCUCUGUCAGCCGGUCCGCCUUCUUGGUGUGUACUUGUUUGACGGAGCCUUACCUCCUGGUGAACGGCGAUGUCCUUUACUGGGUGUCGUCGCAAACCAGGACUUUUACUUUGAAAAAAUUAGAGUGUUCAAAGCAGGCCUUUGCCCGAAUACAUUAGCAUGGAAUAAUAAAAUAGGACGCGCGUUCCCAUUUUGUUGGUUUCUGAGAUCGCCGUAAUGAUUAAUAGGGAUAGUUGGGGGCAUUUGUAUUCCGUCGUCAGAGGUGAAAUUCUUGGAUUGCCGGAAGACAAACUACUGCGAAAGCAUUUGCCAAGGAUGUUUUCAUUGAUCAAGAACGAAGGAAGGGGGAUCGAAAACGAUUAGAUACCGUUGUAGUCUCUUCUGUAAACUAUGCCAAUUGGGGAUCGGUACAGGAUUUUUAAUGACUGUAUCGGCACCCGAAGAGAAAUCUUUAAAUGAGGUUCGGGGGGGAGUAUGGUCGCAAGGCUGAAACUUAAAGGAAUUGACGGAAGGGCACCACCAGGUGUGGAGCCUGCGGCUUAAUUUGACUCAACACGGGGAAACUCACCAGGUCCAGACACAAUAAGGAUUGACAGAUUGAUAGCUCUUUCUUGAUCUUGUGGUUGGUGGUGCAUGGCCGUUCUUAGUUGGUGGAGUGAUUUGUCUGGUUAAUUCCGAUAACGAACGAGACCUUAACCUGCUAAAUAGACCAGCCGGCUUG
rnacentral:rRNA from 1 species